GAUGAACGCUGGCGGCGUGCUUAACACAUGCAAGUCGAACGGUGAAGCAGAGCUUGCUCUGUGGAUCAGUGGCGAACGGGUGAGUAACACGUGAGCAACCUGCCCCUGACUCUGGGAUAAGCGCUGGAAACGGCGUCUAAUACCGGAUAUGAGCUGCGAUCGCAUGGUCAGCAGUUGGAAAGAUUUUUCGGUCUGGGAUGGGCUCACGGCCUAUCAGCUUGCUGGUGGGGUAAUGGCUCACCAAGGCGUCGACGGGUAGCCGGCCUGAGAGGGUGACCGGCCACACUGGGACUGAGACACGGCCCAGACUCCUACGGGAGGCAGCAGUGGGGAAUAUUGCACAAUUGGGCGAAAGCCUGAUGCAGCAACGCCGCGUGAGGGAUGACGGCCUUCGGGUUGUAAACCUCUUUUAGCAGGGAAGAAGCGAAAGUGACGGUACCUGCAGAAAAAGCGCCGGCUAACUACGUGCCAGCAGCCGCUGUAAUAC
rnacentral:rRNA from 1 species